GGUGAACGCUGGCGGCGUGCCUAAGACAUGCAAGUCGAGCGGGGCAGGUUUAUACCUGUUCAGCGGCGGACGGGUGAGUAACGCGUGGGUGACCUACCCGGAAGAGGCGGACAACCUGGGGAAACCCAGGCUAAUCCGCCAUGUGGUCCUGUCCUGUGGGGCAGGACUAAAGGGUGGAUAGCCCGCUUCCGGAUGGGCCCGCGUCCCAUCAGCUAGUUGGUGGGGUAAAGGCCCACCAAGGCGAAGACGGGUAGCCGGUCUGAGAGGAUGGCCGGCCACAGGGGCAAUGAGACACGGGCCCCACUCCUACGGGAGGCAGCAGUUAGGAAUCGUCCGCAAUGGGCGCAAGCCUUACGGAGCGACGCCGCUUGGAGGAGGAAGCCCUUCGGGGUGUAAACUCCUGAACUGGGGACGAAAGCCCCGUGUAGGGGGAUGACGGUACCCAGGUAAUAGCGCCGGCCAACUCCGUG
rnacentral:rRNA from 1 species